rnacentral:rRNA from 1 species
UCUGGUUGAUCCUGCCAGUAGUCAUAUGCUUGUCUCAAAGAUUAAGCCAUGCAUGUCUAAGUAUAAACUUUUAUACAGUGAAACUGCGAAUGGCUCAGUAAAUCAGUUAUGAUCUACCUGACAAAUUUUACUACUGGAUUUCCGUGGUAAAUCUAGAGCUAAUACAGUGCAUUCAAUCCCUGAUAUUUUGAUGGGAGCACUAGUUAGAUUCAUAAGCCAAACCGCCAGGGCAACCUGGUAUUGCUUAGUCAUAACUAUUAAGCUGAUCGACCGCAAGGUCGACGGUUCAAUCGAAUUUCUGCCCUAUCAUUUGCUUUGUUGGUAGGAUAGAGACCUACCAAGGCAGCGACGGGUAACGGGGAAUAAGGGUUCUAUUCCGGAGAGGGCGCCUGAGAAAUGGCGACUACAUCCAAGGAAGGCAGCAGGCGCGCAAAUUACCCAAUCCCAAUACGGGGAGGUAGUGACAAAAAAUAACAAUGCCGGGUCAUUUUGUUUGGCCUGGUAAUUGGAAUGAGUACAGCUUAAAUCCUUUAACGAGGAUCAAUUGGAGGGCAAGUCUGGUGCCAGCAGCCGCGGUAAUUCCAGCUCCAAUAGCGUAUAUUGUGAUUGCUGCAGUUAAAACGUCUGUAGUCGAAGUGUAGGGUAGGAACGGAACGGGUUGGCCAUUCAACUUGGUCUGGCCCUUGUACGCCGCCCUCUAUCCAGCUUUUGCCAGGCUUAGUGAUUCGUGUUCACUGGUCUGUCGCCGAAGAGUGACUGGAGUUUACCAUGAGCAAAUCAGAGUGUUCAAAGCAGGCUUUUAUGCCUGAAUGUUAAAGCAUGGAAUAAUAAAACACGCCGAGUGCGUUAGUUAUUGGAUUCUAACGUCCGAGAAUGAUGAAGAGGAACGGUUGGGGGCUUUUGUAUUUGGCCGCUAGAGGUGAAAUUCUUGGAUUGGCCAAAGACAAACUACUGCGAAAGCAAUAGACCCAGGACGUUUCCAUUGAUCAAGGACGAAAGCCAGGGGAUCGAAGGCGUUCAGAUAACGUCGUAGUCCUGGCCGUAAACGAUGCCGACUAGGGAUUGGAUUGGUUUAAAUAUACCAGUUCAGUACCUUAGCGAAAGUGAAAAAGUCUUUAGGCUCUGGAGGGAGUAUGGGACGCAAGGCUGAAACUUAGAGGAAUUGACGGAAGGGUACCACCAGGAGUGGAGCCUGCGGCAUAAAAUUUGACUCAAUACGAGGAAAACCCACCAGGUCCAGACAUAAGAAGGAUUGACAGAUUGAAAGCUCUUUUCAGGAUUCUAUGGGUGGUGGUGCAUGGCCGUUGUUAGUUUGUUGGAAUUGAUCCCGUAAUAGGAUGAAGUCUAAUGACAAACGAGCUUUCAUCCAAGGUUACCUGGGCUUGAUCCUAGGUUUCUUGUUUGGAGACUAUUGGCUUUAAGCCAAAGGAAGUUGGAGGCAAUAACAGGUCUGUGAUGCCCUUUGAUGUUUCUGGGCCGCACGCGCGCUACACUGACCAAGACAACGAGUUUGUUUUAACCUUGGCCGAAAGGUCUGGGAAAUCUUUUGAAACUUGGUCGUGCUGGGGAUUGAGCAUUGCAAUAGUUGCUCAUCAACGAGGAAUUCCUAGUAAGCACGACUUAUCAGGUUGUGCUGAUUAUGUCCCUGCCCUUUGUACAUAUUGCCCGUCGUUGUUACCGAUUGAGUGGUUCAUGGCGAGUACGAGAGACUCGUAGAAUACGGGCUGGAAACAGCCGACUUUAUGGGAAACUCGUGCAAGCUAUGCCGUCUAGAGGAAGCAAACAUCACAACAAGGUUUUCCGUGGGUGAACUUGCGGAAG